ensembl:lncRNA
GUCAUUAAGGAGCAGGUAGGGGUUAGACAGUACAGAGACAGGUCAUUAAGGAGCAGGUAGGGGUUAGACAGUACAGAGAGAGGUCAUUAAGGAGCAGGUAGGGGUUAGACAGUACAGAGACAGGUCAUUAAGGAGCAGGUAGGGGUUAGACAGUACAGGGACAGGUCAUUAAGGAGCAGGUAGGGGUUAGACAGUACAGAGACAGGUCAUUAAGGAGCAGGUAGGGGUUAGACAGUACAGAGACAGGUCAUUAAGGAGCAGGUAGGGGUUAGACAGUACAGGGACAGGUCAUUAAGGAGCAGGUAGGGGUUAGACAGUACAGAGACAGGUCAUUAAGGAGCAGGUAGGGGUUAGACAGUACAGAGAAAGGGCAUUAAGGAGCAGGUAGGGGUUAGACAGUACAGAGACAGGUCAUUAAGGAGCAGGUAGGGGUUAGACAGUACAGAGACAG